rnacentral:rRNA from 1 species
AACGAACGCUGGCGGCAGGCUUAACACAUGCAAGUCGAGCGCCCCGCAAGGGGAGCGGCAGCCGGGUGAGUAACGCGUGGGAAUCUACCCUUCACUACGGCACAACCCCGGGAAACUGGAGCGAAUACCGAAUACGUCCUUCGGGAGAAAGAUUUAUCGGUGAUGGAUGAGCCCGCGUUGGAUUAGCUAGUUGGUGGGGUAAUGGCCUACCAAGGCGACGAUCCAUAGCUGGUCUGAGAGGAUGAUCAGCCACACUGGGACUGAGACACGGCCCAGACUCCUACGGGAGGCAGCAGUGGGGAAUAUUGGACAAUGGGCGAAAGCCUGAUCCAGCCAUGCCGCGUGAGUGAUGAAGGCCCUAGGGUUGUAAAGCUCUUUCACCGGUGAAGAUAAUGACGGUACCCGGACAAGAAGCCCCGGCUAACUUCGUGCCAGCCGCCGCGGUAAUAC